UACGGGGGGGGCAAGCGUUGUUCGGAAUUACUGGGCGUAAAGGGUUUGUAGGUGGCUCGCUAAGUCAGACGUGAAAUCCCUCAGCUUAAUUGGGGAACUGCGUCUGAGACUGGCGAGCUUGAGUGCAGGAGAGGAACGCGGAAUUCCAGGUGUAGCGGUGAAAUGCGUAGAUAUCUGGAGGAACACCGGUGGCGAAGGCGGCGUUCUGGACUGCAACUGACACUGAGGAACGAAAGCCAGGGGAGCAAACGGG
rnacentral:rRNA from 1 species